rnacentral:rRNA from 1 species
UACGAAGGGGGCGAGCGUUGUUCGGAAUCACUGGGCGUAAAGCGCACGUAGGCGGACUCUUAAGUCGGUGGUGAAAUCCUGGAGCUCAACUCCAGAACUGCCUUCGAUACUGGGAGUCUCGAGUCCGGGAGAGGUGAGUGGAACUGCGAGUGUAGAGGUGAAAUUCGUAGAUAUUCGCAAGAACACCAGUGGCGAAGGCGGCUCACUGGCCCGGUACUGACGCUGAGGUGCGAAAGCGUGGGGAGCAAACAGG